rnacentral:rRNA from 1 species
CCUACGGGAGGCUGCAGUGGGGAAUAUUGGACAAUGGGGGCAACCCUGAUCCAGCCAUGCCGCGUGUGUGAAGAAGGCCCUCGGGUUGUAAAGCACUUUCAGUGAGGAAGAACGCCUGGUGGUUAAUACCCAUCAGGAAAGACAUCACUCACAGAAGAAGCACCGGCUAACUCCGUGCCAGCAGCCGCGGUAAUACGGAGGGUGCGAGCGUUAAUCGGAAUUACUGGGCGUAAAGCGCGCGUAGGUGGCUUGAUAAGCCGGUUGUGAAAGCCCCGGGCUCAACCUGGGAACGGCAUCCGGAACUGUCAAGCUAGAGUGCAGGAGAGGAAGGUAGAAUUCCCGGUGUAGCGGUGAAAUGCGUAGAGAUCGGGAGGAAUACCAGUGGCGAAGGCGGCCUUCCGGACUGACACUGACACUGAGGUGCGAAAGCGUGGGUAGCAAACAGGAUUAGAUACCCUGGUAGUC